rnacentral:SRP_RNA from 1 species
GCCGGGCACGAUGGCUCAUGCCUGUAAUCCCAGCCCUUUGGGAGGCUGAGGCGGGUGGAUAACCUGAGGUCAGGAUUUCAAGACCAGCCUGGCCAACAUGGUGAAACCCCGUCUCUA